rnacentral:siRNA from 1 species
GAUAGCUGGAGUGUGGAGUACUC